rnacentral:rRNA from 1 species
GAUGGACGCUGGCGGCGUGCCUAAUACAUGCAAGUCGAGCGAAUGGAUUAAGAGCUUGCUCUUAUGAAGUUAGCGGCGGACGGGUGAGUAACACGUGGGUAACCUGCCCAUCAGACUGGGAUAACUCCGGGAAACCGGGGCUAAUACCGGAUAACAUUUUGAACCGCAUGGUUCGAAAUUGAAAGGCGGCUUCGGCUGUCACUUAUGGAUGGCCCCGCGUCGCAUUAGCUGGUUGGUGGGGUCACGGCUCACCAAGGCAACGAUGCGUAGCCGACCUGAGAGGGUGAUCGGCCACACGGAGAGUGAGAGACGGCACAGACUCCGACGGGAGGCAGCAGUAGGGAAUCGUACGCAAUGGACGAAAGUGUGACGGAGCAACGCCGCGUGAGUGAUGAAGGCUUUCGGGUCGUAAAACGCUGGUGUUAGGGAAGAACAAGUGCUAGUUGAAUAAGCUGGCACCUUGACGGUACCUAACCAGAAAGCCACGGCUAACUACGUGCCAGCCGCCGCAGUAA